GCGCCCUUAGCUCAGCUGGAUAGAGCAACCGCCUUCUAAGCGGUCGGUCAAAGGUUCGAGUCCUUUAGGGCGCGCCA
rnacentral:tRNA from 1 species